rnacentral:tRNA from 1 species
AGUCUCAUAGUUUUAAGUAAAAAUAUUAGACUGCAAUUCUGAAGAUACAAUUUUUGUUGAGACUU